GGCACCCCAUGUCGCCAUUCCUUCAAAAGGAGGGCGGUCCUCCGAGCGUGGAGAAGCGGGCACUGACCCCAAGGAAGUUGGAUGCCCUAAGGAAUGCCUACGAAGAGCACCUCCGGGCUCAGGCAAGCCUGGUGCCGGAUGCACAGCAUCGCAAAAAUUUAAAUCGGCAUCUUGCUGAUCUCCUCAAUGUGCUGAAGCUCAGAUCGACAAAAGCACGCAUUUUGUAAUUUUUAUUGAUUGAUAAAAUUUUUCAUUUUUUUAA